AACCGCCGUAUACGUAUCCGUACGUACGGUGGUGUGAGAGGUCGGUAGAUAAAAUAAUUAUCUACCUCCUACUCGAU
rnacentral:misc_RNA from 1 species